rnacentral:rRNA from 1 species
GACGGCGUACCUUUUGUAUAAUGGGUCAGCGACUUAUAUUCUGUAGCAAGGUUAACCGAAUAGGGGAGCCGUAGGGAAACCGAGUCUUAAUAGGGCGUCUAGUUGCAGGGUAUAGACCCGAAACCGAGUGAUCUAUCCAUGAGCAGGUUGAAAGUGACGUAACAGUUACCGGAGGACCGAACCCACUGUCGUUGAAAAGCCAGGGGAUGACUUGUGGAUAGGGGUGAAAGGCUAAUCAAACUCGGUGAUAGCUGGUUCUCCCCGAAAGCUAUUUAGGUAGCGCCUCGGACGAACACCAUUGGGGGUAGAGCACUGUUUCGGCUAGGGGGUCAUCCCGACUUACCAAACCGAUGCAAACUCCGAAUACCUACAAGUGCCGAGCAUGGGAGACACACGGCGGGUGCUAACGUCCGUCGUGGAGAGGGAAACAACCCAGACCGCCAGCUAAGGUCCCAAAGUAAUGAUUAAGUGGAAAACGAUGUGGGAAGGCAUAGACAGCUAGGA